CCCUUAGAUGUUCUGGGCCGCACGCGCGCUACACUGAUUCAUGCAACAAGUUUUGUCCUUGGCUGAUAGGCCUGGGUAAUCUUUGAACGUGAAUCGUGAUUGGGAUAGAUGAUUGCAAUUAUUCAUCUUCAACGAGGAAUUCCUAGUAAACGCAAGUCAUCAGCUUGCAUUGAUUACGUCCCUGCCCUUUGUACACACCGCCCGUCGCACCUACCGAUUGAAUGGUCCGGUGAAAUCUUCGGAUCUGAGAGAUGUCUGAUUAAUUUCGGACGCCUUUUGGAAAAGUUGCUUAAACCUUACCAUUUAGAGGAAGGUGAAGUCGUAACA
rnacentral:rRNA from 1 species